rnacentral:rRNA from 1 species
UACGUAGGGUGCAAGCGUUAAUCGGAAUUACUGGGCGUAAAGCGUGCGCAGGCGGUUAUGUAAGACAGGUGUGAAAUCCCCGGGCUUAACCUGGGAACUGCAUUUGUGACUGCAUAGCUAGAGUACGGCAGAGGGGGAUGGAAUUCCGCGUGUAGCAGUGAAAUGCGUAGAUAUGCGGAGGAACACCGAUGGCGAAGGCAAUCCCCUGGACCUGUACUGACGCUCAUGCACGAAAGCGUGGGGAGCAAACAGG